GCCUUGGUGGAUUAGUGGUAUAACACGCGUCUCCGGUAUGGAUGAAACGCGGGUUCCAUUCCCGCCUGAGGCC